GACGAACGCUGGCGGCGUGCUUAACACAUGCAAGUCGAGCGGUAAGGCCCUUUCGGGGGGUACACGAGCGGCGAACGGGUGAGUAACACGUGGGUGACCUGCCCUCAGCUCUGGGAUAAGCCUGGGAAACCGGGUCUAAUACCGGAUAUGACUCCAUGACGCAUGUUGGUGGGGUGGGAAAGCCUUGUGCGGCUGAGGAUGGGCCCGGCGGCCUAUCAGCUUGUUGGGUGGGGUGAUGGCCUACCAAGGCGACGACGGGUAGCCGGCCUGAGAGGGCGACCGGCCACACUGGGACUGAGACACGGCCCAGACUCCGUACGGGAGGGCAGCAGGUGGGGAAUCUUGCGACAAGUGGGCGAAAGCCUGACGCAGCGACGCCGCGUGAGGG
rnacentral:rRNA from 1 species